rnacentral:rRNA from 1 species
AAACAGCAGUCGCCGCGGUAAUACGAAGGGGGCUAGCGUUACUCGGAAUUACUGGGCGUAAAGGGCGCGUAGGCGGCGCUCCAAGUUAGGCGUGAAAGUCCUGGGCUCAACCUGGGAACUGCGCUUAAGACUGGAGUGCUUGAGGAUGGAAGAGGGUUGUGGAAUUCCCAGUGUAGAGGUGAAAUUCGUAGAUAUUGGGAAGAACACCGGUGGCGAAGGCGGCAACCUGGUCCAUUACUGACGCUGAGGCGCGACAGCGUGGGGAGCAAACAGGAUUAGAUACCCCCGUAGUCCCUGUCUCUUAUAC